GUUUAUGGCACUUUCCGGUGGAAGCAGAGCUCUCCAGAGGACUCCUGGCUAAUAACACAAUCUAAUGGAAGCACCCCUGUGCUGAGUGAUACUGAGGAUGGAAACCUUACAGCCUGCACUGAGAAGUCAGGCCCUGCAUCUACACAGAAGCAUUCUGGAUUUCAUUUGGCAUGGUGCUUGUGACUGAUUACAAAAUCUGCUGCUGAAGCAACUUUAGAGGUGGUGGAAGACCUAUGGUUGUGGAUCCUUUGCACAUAUAAAUGUUAUUGUGUGUGUCUGUUUGACCAUGGUAGGAUAUUUAAUGUAUCAUAGAAACAAGUUUUGUAUCUCCAGUUUCAGUGUCCUUCUCAUCAUAGAACCUUCCUUUCAAACAUAUUUUCCUUUGUUUGAGUCUUUAAAAAACCUUGAAAACCCGAAACCUUGAAAAAUUGUAACACUCUAUGAGAAAUGUACACUAUUGUCAUCUUCUGGGGAAAAGGGGAACUUUACUGUGUCCGCUGUUUUUGUAAGUGAAAUGUGGUGUACAGCAUGCUAAGUAACUGCUCAGUCAAAUGUCAGUGUAAAUUCAGAAAUCCUCAGAAGAGGAAAGAAAUAAAUAUUUUUAUUUUCUCUAAAA